AGCAAUAUGCAUGAAGCUAACUGACAGUGGGAUCAAAUUGCUUCUUUCAGCUUGUUCCUUUCACCUCACCGCGACCAUCCGCUACGCACAAACAACAGCAUAAACCACACCAUAACGCUCCAGUGCUAUCAGACCGAGAUAUGACUUCAGUGGCCCAGUAAGGAUUGGCUGGACACAACACCCACAUCAAAACAUCUGCCCUUCUCUGCGAGAGGGACUAAAGAGGAGUGCUUUCCCAUGAAGGACAGCGCAUUUGAAAGCCUCAUGCCAUGGACGGUGGUGGAGAUACUACCAAUGAAGUGAUGAAGAUCGAUUGUCGAUAUCAGUGGUGCCACAACAUCUAAUCCAGCCAGUGAAAGGAUCCUAAAAGACCUGGACGUACCCAGUGCCUGUGCCAAUGCUAAUGGGGCUCAUCUCCGCUCUCCGCGCUGGAUGGUCUAAACUGAAAGCCAGUCCGAUGGUAAUGUUUCUCAAAAAUAAACUUCAUUUCUAAAACAUUUGAACAAUGUGGCUGUCCUUAAAUCUAAGAGGAAAUGUUGCACUGUUUAUGUUUGUAAUUUUUGUUGUGCAGCACACAGCAGCUGUACUGUAUUCAGCUGCCAGUUUAUGAGGUGCACCUAGUCC